AUGCCGGCGCAAACUUGGCUGCUAUUUUCCACCAAAAAAAUCUUGACCCUGGUUCUUUGGGAUUCUCAAAGAUGUAAAGUUUAUUUUUAUGAGCCCUCGUUUUGGCACUACAGAUUAGAAGAAGAAAAAAAAGAAUAUUCUUUGUCCCACAGUUCAAGGGCUGUUCUUUUGUUAAUAGUUCAAACACAGAUACAGUUUCUUCAGAGCCUUGUCUACACCUGGAUAAGUAAGGAUGAAAAAAAUGCACAACAUACAUCACCAAGAAAAAAGGUUGUGCCUGGCAGUGUAAUUGAUUCUAUAACAAAGAGAAAAGCUUCGAAAUGA
rnacentral:lncRNA from 1 species